rnacentral:rRNA from 1 species
UCUAAAUGACUCUCGGCAACGGAUAUCUCGGCUCUCGCAUCGAUGAAGAACGUAGCGAAAUGCGAUACUUGGUGUGAAUUGCAGAAUCCCGUGAACCAUCGAGUCUUUGAACGCAAGUUGCGCCUGAAGCCUCACGGUCGAGGGCACGCYUGCCUGGGCGUCACGCUU